rnacentral:sRNA from 1 species
CUUCUCUCGCCAGGCGUCCUCGUGGAAGUGACAUCGUCUUUAAACCCUGCGUGGCAAUCCCUGACGCACCGCCGUGAUGCCCAGGGAAGACAGGGCGACCUGGAAGUCCAACUACUUCCUUAAGAUCAUCCAACUAUUGGAUGAUUAUCCGAAAUGUUUCAUCGUGGGAGCAGACAAUGUGGGCUCCAAGCAGAUGCAGCAGAUCCGCAUGUCCCUUCGCGGGAAGGCUGUGGUGCUGAUGGGCAAGAACACCAUGAUGCGCAAGGCCAUCCGAGGGCACCUGGAAAACAACCCAGCUCUGGAGAAGUCAGUUCCCCUGGCAGUUUUGUCCUUUCUCCCCAGUGCCCGUCUCCCUCUUCCUGGAGAAUGGUGCUGAAAGGUGAUUGUCUCCCAUAAACUUCUCUUUGCAGACUGCUGCCUCAUAUCCGGGGGAAUGUGGGCUUUGUGUUCACCAAGGAGGACCUCACUGAGAUCAGGGACAUGUUGCUGGCCAAUAAGGUGCCAGCUGCUGCCCGUGC